UUAACCCUUUCCUCCAUAAUGACGCUUUUUGACUCCACCCCUUUUACUCCAUAAUGACGCUUUUUGACUCCAGCCCUUUUACUCCAUAAUGACACCUUUUGAUGCCUGUUUAGUACCUCAGUUGAAACACUUUGACUACAAAAUGUCUGCAUCAGACUUAAAAAGUUUGUAUCCAAUUUGAAAAGGAUAUUCAUUGAACUUUUGAUGUUGUCCCUAAUCAAUUCAUUGUAAUAUGCAUACACAUAAGGAUAUAAUUUUUU
rnacentral:lncRNA from 1 species